UCCACUGUCUGUACUCUGAGUCAUCCUCACCUGUGAUGAGGCCAACUAUGGCAGAGUCGUCAGAGAACUUCUGCAGAUGGCAGCGUGGGGAGUUGAUGGAUAUUACAUUAUUUUAAGUUAAGAGCAAUGAUGAAGUUCUUUUUCCAGUAGGUCACCUUUUGUUGCUGCAUCUCUAAACAUUGCAUGAGCUAUUACACAGCAUAACUGCUAAACCACAGCUAUAUAAUCUACUAUGGAGGCUCUUAAGCAUGCAUUUUAAUCCAAUUGAGCAAUACAAUAUAUUGACUUUUUUUAUAACACACUGUUUAUUUUAUUUGAUUACAGUUUAUCUCCCAGCACACUUGCACACAUCUGUUUUUAUGACAUGGUUACACUUUAUUACACUUUUAAAUCAUAAAUAAAAACUAAACACAUCUACUGUAGGAAACUGUUUCAUAACCACAUUAGCAGAGCUGUCUUACUAACAGUGGGUAUAUUCGGGACCACUGUUUGCCCCCAAAUGAGAUUUUGUGACCUUGCUGGCAGUUUGCUUAAGUUACAUAAUGUCCCCCGACAGGUGAAAAAACAAAUGACCAAUUACCAGUGUCUCCCUGGAGGGAGGACUACUCAGCCACUGCUAGAACUGUUCCCGGCGGACUAGACCAGUGCAGCAGCAGCACGCCAUGCCUCACCUGCUAUCCCAGCUGAGAUCACAGCAGGGUUGGGGUGAGUGAGCCGACGCCCAGUUCAGGUGGUAAUCCUGAAGUGAUGACAUGUCAGUCUGGCUUCACAGGUAAGCAAGCCUCACUGAAAAAAAAGGACAAAAAGAGCAACAACAACAACAACAACAACAACAACAACAACAACAACAACAACAACAACAACAACAAAAGGAAAUUGGAAAUUUCUUAUUUUACAAAACACCAAGCAAUGCUACACAAUGACACGCUUACUCAACCAGCUGUUCCGUUGCAGCACUGGUGUGCUGUGAGCACAAGAAUAACUCCUCCGGGCUUUAUACCUCCCUGAAAUGCAGAAGUGUACCAUGUGACAAUGAGGUGACAUCUAAAGACGUUUUUUCUCACAACGCCCAGUAGAUGUGAUGUGCAGCAGUGAGGCACUGAGGUAACUUUUCUGUGACCACAAACUUCCCUUAUCUGUGAGAACCAUCAAGAACUGUGGCGAAACGACCCCCCCCGCCAAAGGACCCAGCCUUAGGGUGGCUCUGCUUCCUGUGAAGAAAAUAUGAUGCGAUUCUACCUCCAGCAGCACUUUUUGAGCUGAGUGAUAAAAUGCAUCGAAAAAGAUCACAUGGAACCAACUCAGAGCUGCCACUAUGUGUGUUACAUAAUAAAGUUUGUAAAUGGA